rnacentral:rRNA from 1 species
UACGUAGGGUGCAAGCGUUAAUCGGAAUUACUGGGCGUAAAGCGUGCGCAGGCGGUUAUGUAAGACAGUUGUGAAAUCCCCGGCUCAACCUGGGAACUGCAUCUGUGACUGCAUAGCUAGAGUACGGUAGAGGGGAUGGAAUUCCGCGUGUAGCAGUGAAAUGCGUAGAUAUGCGGAGGAACACCGAUGGCGAAGGCAAUCCCCUGGACCUGUACUGACGCUCAUGCACGAAAGCGUGGGGAGCAAACAGG